rnacentral:lncRNA from 1 species
GCAAUGCUUCAGAUUGUUGACCUAGCUUUCAACAAUUUCAGUGGUAAAUUGCCAGCAACAUGCUUCUCGACCUGGACAGCAAUGAUGGCUGGUGAAAAUGAAGUCCAAUCCAAGCUCAAACACCUGCAAUUUAGGGUUCUACAAUUCAGUCAAUUGUACUAUCAGGAUGCUGUAACAGUUACCAGCAAAGGUCUAGAAAUGGAGUUGGUGAAGGUCCUAACUCUCUACACCUCUAUUGACUUGUCGUGCAACAAUUUUCAAGGGGACAUACCAGAAGUGAUGGGGAACUUCACAUCGCUCUAUGUUCUCAACUUAUCGCAUAAUGGUUUCACAGGCCAUAUCCCAUCGUCAAUAGGGAAUCUGCGACAACUUGAGUCAUUAGACCUCUCGCAAAACAGGCUGAGUGGAGAGAUACCCACACAGCUUGCGAACCUAAAUUUCCUUUCAGUCCUGAACCUCUCAUUCAAUCAAUUGGUGGGAAGGAUCCCACCAGGUAAUCAAAUGCAAACAUUUUCAGAAACUUCUUAUGAAGGGAAUAAAGAACUGUGUGGGUGGCCUCUGGAUCUAAGUUGCACUGAUCCACCACCAGAAUUUGAUGACAGGCACUCAGGUUCCAGGAUGGAGAUUAAGUGGGAAUACAUAGCUCCUGAAAUUGGAUUUGUGACAGGAUUGGGAAUCGUGAUUUGGCCUCUAGUGUUGUGCAGGAGAUGGAGGAAAUGCUACUACAAACAUGUUGAUAGAAUUCUUUCAAGGAUUCUCCAAGGAAGAGCAAGUGGUGGAAGAAGAGCUCACAGAAUUCGCCUCCGGAGGCGGAGAAUGUAGCCGUGGUGCAGAGGGAUGAAGUGAUUAGUCAAGAGUCCAUUUCCAUUAAUCCAAUCCUAUGUUUCAUUGAAGGAAUAUUAAAAAGGGGUCAUAUUAUUGGAUGGGCCUUCAGUCCGUGUGUCAAAUGUAAUUCUGGCUUGCUUCUUAUAAAUUUAAUCGAAUGCAUAAUUUUAUAUUUGGACAAUGUCAUGGUGAAGUAGAUUUUCAAAGUAACAUUAUUCUUACCUUUUAGUGAUGCGAGUAUCAAUGUGCUUCUCUAAAAUAUUAUACUAAUAAAGAAUUUAAGUUGUAAAACCACUUCAUGAAAGCUUUUCUACAAAAGCAUCAAAUCUUAAAUUUGGCCAAAAAACUUUUUAACCUUCAUAUGUUUAGUCAAUAAAAGCCCUUUUGACCAAUGUAAGGAUUUUUAAAUAUUAAAAAAUUUAGCCAAGUAAAAAAUAUAACAUGUUAAAUUUAAGAAAUUUGGAAACUCUUCUUCUUCAGGGAAGGAAUUCAAGCUGAGCAGGAGAUGGUCUAGGAUAUGUUGGCUGGAUGUGGGCCAGAGUUGGGUUAAACUUGGUUGGCUGGAUUUCGGUCAUUAAUGAAAUAUGGGCCUGAUUGGCACAAACGAAGAGCAGCUGAGGUAGCUAGGACCAUAUUCAGCCCAAUCAACACAUCUCAAGCCAUAAGGGAUAUAACAUUGAUAAGCAAGUAACUAUCAUACUAGGUAGUAAGGUGGCUGCCCAUCUACUUAUAAAAGUUUCAUCCUCUUACAGGCUUUCACAUUAAAUUUGGAAAUGAUUCUCACUUUAUUUUAUUUUUUACCACAUUUUUUUAUUAUCUUGUUAAUUUAUGGGAAGAAAAAAAUUUAUCAAUUUUUUUUAUAGUCCAUUGUUCCAAUGAAAUGAUUAAACAAUGAUAAGAGUAUGAGAUUUUCAAAAGUAGAAGGUCAAUCGAUAUAACUUGUAAAUUUUUAGAUUUUAAUGGAAUUUGAAAACUACUAAUAUUAUCAUGCAAGUGAAAUAACAACAUGAACUUGAAAAAUUAAUCCCAAAACCAUCUCUAAAAUUAUCAAUAUCCUGGCCCAACUUCACAUUCAACUUGAAUAUCUCUAAACAAGUUCAAUCCUUUCUGUUUUUCAAUUUUCUUUCACUUUUUUUUUCUUUCUAGAAUUAGACUCUUUAUGGGUACCACGAAAAAGAUUACUAGCUAGGAAUGUAAAGCAUGGUUUUUAAGAAUGAUAAGUGCUCAUAUAUAUUUUGAAUCAAAUUUAAGAGAAAGUUCCUUACAAUGAAUUGAUUUUCACUUAACUACUCAUAUUUCUAGUAUGAUACAAGGAAUCCAUAUAAUCCAAAUCAUAAAUCCAAAUAAGAACUUUAUGUCUAUGGGAAAUCUAAUCAAAGGUCUAAUUGAAGCCAUCUAAAUUUAUCAUUUGAUAUUUAAGCUCUAAUUGAAUCCAUUAGAAUUGUUAUUUGAAUUUUAGACAUAUUAGACAUCAUUUAGACUUCUUUUAGAUAAUUCGUAUAUCUUGUUUUCCAGGAAAUUUGAUUUCUUUGUCCAAACUUGAUGUUUUUGAACAUAAUUUCAAAUUUAAUUAGAAACAAAUGUCUCAAUUUUUUUUCAAAUAAUCAUCUUUUCCAUUCUAAUAUCUUACAUGAUGAUUUGUAGAAGUUGAAACUCGAUGACCUUUUUACCAAGAUCCUUGUUACCUUGCACUAUAAUGUUUAGUAGAUAAGCUUUUAGUUUUCUAGUGACAUAAAUGUUGGAGAUUAGUAGAGAAUGAAAAUCUUCCAAACUUAGAUUUUAUUGAUACUCAAUGUGUAUGUGGAUUGCAUUAGAGUAAAACCAACCAAACACACUAAGAAAUAAGCUACUAGGAAAAAAAUAAUAAAAAUUAUAUUAGAAAAAAAAAUCCAUAUGCAUUCGUAUAUAACGGAGCUUACAACCAAUCUACAAAGAUAAAUAAAAUAUUCGUAUACAAACGGAUUUUUCACUAGCCGUUGGAGGAUUUAAUGCUUGGCAGGUGAUCGUUAUCCUCUACCGGACAUCGAUCAAGAAGGCAAAUACCUCGACCAGGAAGGAAAGGCUACUAGAAGAGAGAGAGAGAGAGAGAGUGUUUUUUGCUCAUCUCAACUAGAUCUCAAUCAAGAAGGAGUAACCGGUCAACCAGUACCCUGGUCGGUUGAGCCGGUUUGGCUAGUGUCUCGACUGGUUCACCAUUUUUGGCCCAAAAACCUAUAUUUUCUUUGUUAUUUUCUCUUCUAACACUUAGGUAAGGUAUUUAGGCAAAUUAAUUUGCCAAUUUUGAAAUGAUUUGCCUAAGGUUCAUUUGAUAAAACUCGGGUUUUGAUGGAAAUGUAACUUUAAAGCAUAAACUAAGUUUUUCAAAUAUGCAUGAAAUGAUACGUAAAUCCUAAGUGCACCCAUGCAUUCAUCUUACAUAUGUUUCCUAUGAUUAAAGGUCUUCCAAAAGUCUUAAUCUUGCAUCCAUUAGGUCAUUUGAUGAAUUUCCAAACUGACAUCUGAAAUUGUUUAUAAUUCAAACCAAUUAGUAACUUAACCAUGAUUUGUUAUUAUCAAAAUAUGAUUAGGAGAACCCUUGGGCUAACAAUCUCCCCUUUUUUUAUGAUGACAAACCUUGGUUAUCUAAGAGAAGAAGAAUCUCCUCCUCAAACCAAUCAUGGAUCAACAAUCAAAAUUUACGAAGUUAAAACCAAGAUAAUCAAGACAUACUAGAGAGAAUUUGCAAUAAGAAACAAUGUAAGUGAUCAAACAUAUAAGAAUAUCAUAUAUAAGUCAAUGUAUCAAUAUCCAGUAUAUACGAUCCAAGUGAUAUGAAAAUGAUAUGCAUGUAAGUCUUCUAUAGUCUCAUAGAUCCUAAAAUAUCUCCCCCUUUUGGCAACAUAAAAAAGGAACAAAUAGGGUCUCGAAGGAAUCAAGGAUGAGGAAGUGGAGGUGGAAACACAGAGCGUAGAUAAGCCAUCAUAUUCUCAUGUUGACUCUCCAAACGAUCCUUAAUACGCUCAAUCCCCUGUUGGAGAUACUCAAACUGUGAAGUGAAGCCAGUCUGAUACUGAUCCAUGCAAUCCUCCAUGGAGUAGAACCGUGUGUCACUGACUAUAGCAAGCUCCUCCAUAUGAGUGCUUAGAGAGCUAAUCUAAGCAGAUAAAUCCAUCCAUGGAGCAUGGUCAGGAGCGAGAGGUGUUUGAGCAAGUGGUAUCUCAAAAUGUGUAGCCUUAGUGAAUGCAAGUUCAGAGGAAGACUCAGUGAAUGAUGACUGAGUAGAUGGACCCGCUAUAAAAGUUGGCUCAAACAUCAUCGGCUCAGAGAAGGUAGUCUCAAACUGAACACCCAUUGACUAGAGUGGAGAAAUGUCAAGCUCGGGCUCUCUUUGUUGAUAGCCACUCUAAGGGUUUACUUCACACUCCAUCUUUUUAAUCUCUACCUCCUCCUUAACUCUGGGAUGUGCCUGUCCCUAUCCCCGAGCCUAUGUCGGUGCUCUCUUUGCUUUCCUGACCUAAGAACCAUUUGGGGCUUUCUCAAAUUUCAUCUUCCCCAUGGACUGAUCAUCAUACGUAUCAUAAGCGUUGGUGGCCUCAAAGUUUGUCUCUCUGCUCAAGUCAACGCCGACAUCCUUGCACAUUCUAGUAAGGAAGCGACCAUAGGGGAGUACGCGAGUCGUGCUCUCGCAACAUGAGAUCAAGUUCAUCAUCAUCAAGUACCCUAAGUGGAUCCGUCUUCCAGUCAAAAUAGAGUCAAUAAGGAAUGCCUCAUAAUAAGAGACCUCGUCUCGGUGUCCACCCUGUGCAUAUGAUGUAGCACUCUACUGAUGACCAUCAGGUUGUGUGCUGAGGGUUUGUCCAUCCCGUGGGCAUCUACAAGUUCACAAAUCCUCUUAAUGGCCUCUCUAGGCUCAAAUCUUGGCACAAUGGGCCACAUUUUGGACUCAUAUACUUUGAGUCCAACUGGAGCAAUAUCGAAAAUACGAUAAAUGCUCUUUGGGUCUAAACGAAUCUUGACGCCUUUGACAGUAGAAAUGAUCGGGCCACCUGAUGAGAAUCAACAAGCAUUCGAGGAUCCAUUGUAUCUUCCAGUUGGGCCUAUUACUAAAGCAAGAUCCAAGAAUAUCAAAGAAGCAAUUAAUGGGCUAAUUCAAGAGAUUUGGGUUGAUUCUAACGUAGGACAUUCCAAGCUUGGCCCAAAGGAAGAUGAAGGUGUAAUAAAUUUAAUCGAAGCUAUUGAGGGCUAAUCUGACUUGAUUGGACGUUAUUUAUGGUGUGGAUUAAUGACUGAUUGACUUUCCAACUCCAUAUCAAUUAAUAGACAUUUUUACUAUUCUAGAGCUUCUAAUUUUAGGCUAAAUCUACCUUAAUUUUAGGCUUUUAUUAUUUAGAACAAUUUUUAGCUAUUUUCCUAUUUUGGAUCUGCUAAUUUCAGACCAAAUCAACUUUUAUUUAGGGUUUUAAUAUUUAGUAAGUUUUUAUUUCAUGACAUAUAAAUAGCAUGCACUCAUUGUAAUAUGGGAUAAUUUGAUUGAAUAAAAAAUCAGAAAAUGUGAGGCUUUACUCUUCUUUUGGUUCUUUAAGGACUGUGAACUUAUCAGGGAUUCUUCCUUGUGGCGUUCAAACUUUAUACUUUCGGUUCAUGAUUCCAUUGUAAUCAUUGGGUCAAGGUUUGUUACUUAUACUUUUGGUUCACGUUUCACUUAUAAAAGUUGGGUCAGGGUUCUAUCAAAAAUCUGUAUUUUAGUUUUCUUAGGCAAUUAUUCCAAUACUGUUUGUUGGGUCUCAAAGUGUGUCGAUUGAGGUUCGCAUCAUUUGGUAUUAGAGCUCAGGUUCUAAAAUCAGUCGAUUGAGGUUCGCAUCACCACCCAUGCCAUAAGUCGCCUUUGAGUAAAAAUCUCACACCAAAGUCGAGAAAAUCGGCUCCAAAACAAUGACCAUAGGUAAUCAACCCAUCCUAGUGAAUAGACCCUCGAAUCCGAAGUGCUCAAGUUGGGGAAAAUUAAUAUUUCUCCUCGGAACUACUUGUCCCAAAGCAAAGUGAUGUUUGUACCGUUGGUAGUCCUCCACGGAGUUGAACAAGGUAGUGUCAAACCUUGCCUUUCGGGUUUGACAAGGUGCCAAAAGCUUGAAUCCUAAAUCCUUAAGAGGGUUUAUAUAGGAUUUCCUAUGGACUUAAGUGACUUGAGCCCAAAUUUGGCUUGAGUCACCUGAUCUAGCCCACUUGGGUCCUAAUUAAUUUAUUAUUUUAAUGGACUCCAAUUAAUUAAUUAGCUCAAAACACCAAUCUAGAAAUAUUGUUCAUAAGAUCUUGUGCAACCUUGUAUUUUUACUAAAACACCCUUAUGUGCCCUUAUGAACUACAAAUCUAAAUCUCUCAAAUAAAACAUGUCACCAUGAACUAUGAGCUCAAGCGGGGACCAUUGGGACCCAUAAGAUUAUAUUGGCUCCCUCAUAAUUGAAUUCUAAAAUUGAUUCGAGAAUCCACUAAAGAGAAUCAAUUGUACUUCAGUAUCCUACAUUAAGACAAAGCUUAGGUUUGUAACCUACUAUUCAUUGCAUGCAAGCUCCUCAUGAAUUAGUGUCUGUAAUCUAAUAAGGUAGUGUUGUCAACCUAUCAAGAUUAGCUCUUUAAUCUUUAAGUUAUAAAUCCUCCUAUUAUGUGAUCAAUUGACAUACUCUAGCUUGUAAAGAACAUAUAUCAAAAUUCACUUAAAGAAUUCCUACAAUCACAUAUUUCAUAAUCAUAUGCCCUUUAGAUCAUCCAAGAGAACACUUUGUUCCAAUUCUAUGAGAUGCCAUGGUGCCUCUAUUAAGAAUAUGUAUUAUCACCAACCUCCAUCAACAAUGGCAAUUCGUAGGGAAUCUAUAUAUAUAAUCAUUUUAGGGUCUUACCUAUAGGUCAAAACCUUCUAUUGAUUUUAGCAUAGACUUAAUAUCUUCUUAAAGUUGAGAGUCCAUGCAAUAUAGUAACUUUGUAAAUCAUGACAACCCGAUGACCUUAUUGCAAAAUUGAAAUAUUGAAAUAUCUUCAUGAUUCAUCAUAGGCACGAUUUGAAAUAUUGCAAAAUUUCAGCGAAAUAUCGUCGAUUUUUCGCUUAUCGGAGAGGAUCAACACGACAUUCAUCAUUUAUAAUCAAUUGACAGAUUUAUCGCGGAUUUUUUUGGGAAUAUCGGUAAUAUUUUGGCAUUUAUCGACAUUUUUGCCUAUUUUUCAAAAAAUUUCCCAAUUUUUUGGUGCCAACCACUUUGGUCAACGCGCAAUCAACCCUCACAUUUUUUGUUGUAAUGCCUAGGGGAUUUGAACCUAGGUCAAAAGGCUUGGGUUGAACCCUGGCUACCAUUGGGCCAAAAUGUCAUUUGUAAAUAUAUGUUCAAUUUAAAUAUGUUAAAGUUCAGCAUUUUAAAAAAUAAUUUUAAUUAUUUUAUUUUAAAUUUAAUGUAAUUGAUUAAUAAAAAUAAAAAAACCAACAUUAUAAUUUUUUAACAAGUCUUUUUUUAUAUCAUUUAUAUGAUAAUUAAAUAUAAAAAAUAUAAAUAUUAAAAAAUCAUAUAUGCAUCAUCAUUUAUUUUACAUUAUUGAAUGCAUUUAAAUUAAAUAAAUUAUAGUUUUAAUAUUAAAUUUAUUAUUAUUGAUCUCAUUAAUCUUAUUUUAAAAAAUAAUUAUCACUUGACUUUUAAAUUUUUUAUAUUUAUUUGUUUAUUUUUUAAUGUCUUUAUUUUAAAAUAUUAAAAAUAUAAAUUUAUUCAAAAAAUACUAAAAUAUAUAUAAAAAAAUUAAUAAUGAAGUUCUAAUAUUUUAUAAAUUAUAAUUAAUUUGAUAAGAUAAAUAAUAAAUUAUAUAUUAUGAUCGAUAUAUCCUUGCUUAGAGAUAAUUUUCUCCUUAAUCAUACUUAUGUCAAUUAUACUUACAAAUUAACUUUAACAUGUGUUUUUUUACUUAUUUUAUCAUUUUUUUUUUUGAGUUUUUCCAAAUAUUUCAAUGAAUUUUGAAUAAUUUUCACCUCACCAAAAUUUUUAUCAAAAUAUUCACCAAUAUUUCUCCGAUAUUUUCGAUAUAAUCAUAAAAUUCAAGUACCAAUAUAUCCAUAUUUUCCAAUAUUUCAAACCAUUAUCAUAGGUGUUGUCUUAUGUAUAACCAUACACACUAGUGUACUCAUAAUAGGAACCCUAUCCCGAUGGUCAAGAUAAGUCAUAUUUUAUAACCAUACACACUAGAUUUUAAAAGUGUGAGAUAAUGCUCAUAAAAAUAACAAAGUAGAGAAUUUGUUGAUAAUUAUUCCCAAAUAAAUGUCAUUAAAACAAUUUGAACUAGAAUUUAAAAUAAAAAGAUGUCACAUGGAUUAACCUAGGAUUUGAGAAAUUUGGCCUCAUCAUAGGCCACACUACAAACCUGAGAUGAGUUUUAGGAGAAAAUGAGUAGAAGUUAGAAUAAUAAAACAGUUUUUUUGUUUUCCAAAACAAAAAAAUUGGAAAACACAUUUUACAAUCAAAAAAUAUUUUAUGCUUUUUGUUCUCAAUAACAGAAAACAAAGUGUUUCAGAUAAUAUCUUUUAGUUAUUUUAAUUAUUUUCACUUAUUUUUUUAGAGUUGUUUUAAAAAAUAAUUAUAGAAAUAUGUAUCAUGAUUAAAAAUAAAGCUCUAGAUAUAAAAAUAAUUUUUAAAACUUACUUAAAAAUAUUAAAAACAUUUUAGAUUCUCAAACAAACUUUUAGUUUACAAAACAUUAAAGAAUAGUUUUUAAAAAUUGUUCUUAAAAACUAUUUUUCAGAACUAUUUCAAAAAAACAGUUAUCAAACAGGUCCUUAAUUUCUAGCCCGUGAAAGAAGAGAAAAAAAGAGUAAUUUUGUUUAGUAUAAAUAAACAAAGAGUCAUGUGAAUAAAGGGAUCCUUGAUAUAACAACAAAAAUCAACCUUUCCAACUUCUCAAGUGAUUCGAUCUCUUUGUUGACCAUCGUGACAACCUUAAUCUCUUUUCAUUAGCAGUAGGAGUAAGGUAGAUUAGCAGCAGAUUCAUCAAUGGGGAAACCAUUUUAUGCUUGUUCCUAUCAUUUAGGUUUACAUCAAUGAGUGGUUUGGAGGGUGUACUACCUAUAGUCUAUUAAUUAAAUUUGAGGGGAAAGGCUUUUAUCCUUUAAAGGACUUCUUGCCACCCUUCUUCAAUUUUGGGGAGAGUUCGAUCAAUAUUCAAUCACCAUUUAGCAUUAUUAUCCAAGGGGUCAUGGGAGAGAAGUUUCUCUAGCAUCGGUUAUGCCAUAUCCAAUAUACACAUCACUGGAGGGUGACAUUAUCCCAAUAAUCACAUCAUGCCCUUCAGUACCAGUAUAGUUUUGAUCAAUGCAAUUUGCUGUGAAUUUCUGUAGUGGUAGAAUUAUAGCCAGGAGAUUCUAGCCCCAGUAUCCACCAUAGGCCAGCAAAGUGAAUAAUCCUAGGAGAAUAAGCUCAGAAGCACAAGGAUUUGAUCAAUGGAACCUGGUUUUUUUUUGUUUUAAUUUCUUUACUGAUGUAAUAAACCUUCUGUUUAUUUGGUUCGCUGUCAUUAUUAUAAUCUCUAGUAGUUGCACCAUCCUGGGUGAAUGAGCUAUUACCUCUACCAAUUGAAGUUUUUUUUGGUUACAGUCCUUGGUAUUCUCUUGGAAUUGACAACCAUUUGGAAAAUAAAAAUUCCUUUAUUUAGACAUAAAAAGAAUCCACAAGCAUGGACCAUUGCUAAAAGAAGAUUGAUAUGAGACUAUUCAACCCGAGACACUAUUUGCCUAGGUAUAUUUCGGGAUGGUGAUUCAUUCCUCUAAUAGGACUAGAACAAAUGGCUAAAUUGCUCUGAUAUGCUCACAUCUUUAAUCAAUAAGUUUACACUAAAUCAGUAUAACUCCCUACCAAAACGCUAGGUGAGAGAUCAGGGGCAAAGCUAGGUAGUGUCUGGGAGGGGCAAAUGCCCCCCAUGAAAUUUUAAUAAAUAUAUUAGGGUUUAGAUCCUUAACCUAAAAUUCUGAAAAACCUAACUCUCAAACUAGGUUUCAUAUAUUGCCCCCAAUCAAUUAAUUUCCCAACUCCACCACUGUGAGGGAUUGUACCUAAGUAGGGCAUCACUUUCAUAAUUCUAUACUCCUCUUGUCUCUUUUCCAUUCAAAAGGACUUGAGUUGAAAGAUUUUGAGGCCUAAAAUUAUAUACAAGUCAAGCCCAUAGGCCAAAACAUAGAACUGGUGGGUAAAGCACCCCAAACUAGACUUCUCAAACACAAUAAUAUUGAAGAUUAAGCUAAAAUUUGUAACUGCAUUUUAUAUUGAAGUGAGUUUCAUUUUAGUAUUAAUUUUUGGAUAAAGUUAAAAACUAAAGGACAUCAGAAAUGUUAUUUUUAAUUACGUAUAUCAAUAGCACUUUAUAGGAGAAAUUUUAAGUAGUGAAAUAUGGAAAAUUUAAGCUCAUAUAGAAUGAAUAGUUAAAUGCAAAAUGGUACACUUAUUAAAGAGUUGAACAUUGACCAACUUAUUUUCUGGGCUAGACAAAAGUAGACAAGAAAAUUCAAUGAAAUAUUGGGGACUUUCUUUUCUGUGUGGUUGAAAGAUACAGAAGAAUUAUAAAUCCUACACUAAAUUUGAAGCGACUUAUGAGUGAUACACCAAACUUAUUGUUUGGGCUAGAGAAAAGUAGGCAGGAAAAUUCAAUGAAAUGGGGACUUUCUUUUCCGUGUGUUAAUGAUGUUAAAUGAAGAAAGAAAAUCUGUGUCACUAAGUUUAAAUGUGCUCAUCUUUAAAAUUGCACUAAAGUCAUUUACGUGAGUCCAACUUUAGAAAAAAGAUGGUUGAUUGUCAAUAUAAGUUGUCAUAUUAAUCAUUAUUAUAUUUAAAAUUUGGAAAACAUGAACAUGAAAAGGAAAAAGGAAAUUCAAAAACAAAAUAAUGAAAAACAACAAUUAGAAAAUAGAAAUCAAUAUAGCCUAAAAAUUGUAUUAGAACAAUUUUCUAAACCUAAACCAAUAGGAAUUCAAAACCUUCACAAUGAGAUAAGUCAAAUUAAACUUCAAGUUAAUACUAAGUUAAUUCAUAAUCAAGAAGUAGAAACUAGACUUCAAAUGCUAGAAAAUGAAAAAGUUCAAAUCAUAGAAGAUGAUAAUAAACAAUUAAAAGGAGAAUUUUGGGAAUUGUUUGUAAAAACUAUAACAAGAAUGAAAACUCAAAAAUGGUAUGUCAAAGUAAAACUCUUCAUAAAACCUGAUUUUUCAAAAUAAUUUUUAGCAUUAGUUGAUUGUGGUGCUAAUAUUAAUUGUGUACAUGAAGGAUUAAUUCCAAUUGUAUACUUUGAAAAAACAUACCAAGGGGCCGUAAGUGCAAACUCACAACCCUUGGCAAUAGAUUUCAAAAUUUCAAAUGUACAUAUAUGUAGUCAAAAUAUUUGUUUCAAGACUUCUCUAUUGCUAGUCAAAGACAUGCAUAAAGAGAUAAUUUUAGGAAUACCAUUCCUUGCUAUAUUUUAUCCUUUUAAAGUAGAUAGUGAAGGAAUUAAAACAAUUUAUAAAGGACAAAAUAUUUGCUUUAAAUUUACUAAUCCUAUACAAACCAAAGAAUUAAAUACACUUCAAAAUGAAGAAGUAAACUUAAUUCAAAAGAAAAAACAACAUACCAAAUUCAUAAGCAAAGAAAUACAUUAUAAAAGAAUUGAAGAAAAUCUAUUACAAAAAGCAAUUCAAACAAGAAUGGAAAAAAUUAAAAAUCAAAUUGAAACAGAACUAUGUUCUUCUAUUCCCAAUGCUUUUUGGGAUAUAAAGAAACAUAAAGUUUCCUUGCCCUAUAUUGAUGGAUUUGAUGAAGCUCAAAUUGCCACUAAGGUAAGACCAAUUCAAAUGAAUGCUUAAUUAUUUGAAUACUAUCAAAAUGAAAUAAAAGAUCUUUUGAAUAAACAUCUUAUUAGAAAGAGUCACUCUCUUUAGAUCGUUGCUUUCUAUGUUCAAAAACCCUCAAAAAUUGAAAAAAGUGCUCCAAGACUUGUAAUAAAUUAUAAGCCUUUAAAUAAGGUUCUCAAAUGGAUAAGGUAUCCAAUAGCUAACAAAAGAGACCUUAUCGGACACCUUGAUAAUGCUUUAGUCUUUUCAAAAUUUGAGAUGAAGUAUGGAUUUUGGUAAAUUCAACUUCAAGAAAAAGACAAAUACAAAACUACAUUCACUGCUCCAUUUGGGCAUUAUGAAUGGAAUGUAAUGCCUUUUGGUUUAAAGAAUGCUCCAUCAAAAUUUCAAAAUAUAAUGAAUGACAUUUUCAAUCACUAUACUAAUUUCUCCUUAGUAUAUAUUGAUGAUGUGCUUAUAUUUUCAAAUUCUAUUGAACAUCACUUCAAACAUCUUGAAAUCUUUCAACAAUUUGUUAGGGAAAAUGGCUUAGUGGUAUCUGCCCCUAAGAUCAAACUAUUUCAAACUAGGAUAUUUGAUUUCUACUUCUUGUUGUCAAGUAUAAUUCUUCCUUUCAAGAUUUCAAAUUCCUUGAAUUAUGUGUUGGGACUUUGUCCAAACACAAUUAGUUUCACCUCAUUUUCCUCCACAUUUAGCAAGAGAAUUCAAAGUCAAAUGGUGGUCAAAUUUCUCUCAUUCUACUGCCUAACAAAUUCCCCAUAUCCAUCAAUGGAUUUCCUCAAAAAAUGCUCCUUCAAAGCUAAGUCCUUCAAAAACUCCUAUUCAAAUUCCUCUUGAUAACUUUUUGUUAUCAAGAACUUUGUUCCCUUCAGACAAAGAAUUCAAAAACAUCUCAAAAUGCUUAUGAAAAAAUAGAAACCAUGUCUCAACUCUCUGAUUUUGGUUCUGAUGAUGAUACUGCAUCAUCUACUUUUUUAGGGGAUCUCAAUGAAGACAUGUGCUAUGGAUUUCUAUACACGCCUCUGGAGUAACGCCUUCAAGUCUUCAUUAAAAUCAAUUUGUGAAGCACUUCAAAAGAGACACUUAGGUCUUCAGGUCAAGCAAAAUGUUCGCAUUCUUGCCUUUGAUUACAUUUUCCAAAGAGACUUUGGAUAUCGUGGCAAAAUCUCAAAGGACCUCAAAUUUCUCAAAGAAUCUAGGUUUGAAGAUGAUUUCCUAUUGUAGACUCCAACAUUUUCCAAUAUGAGUGGGUUGAUGAGACAUCAAUACCGCUCUUCAAAUUUAUGGAUAAAAACAAUGGGCUACAAACCGCUCUUCAAAUUCAAAGGAUAGCUGCACAAAAGAAAAACUACUUUCGGUGGAUUUCAAAACUCUUCAAAUCUAUGAACUUAAAAGGUUUUCAUAUCCGUCCUCAAAUCCUAUAUAAGGCCCUCAUUUCUCAUUGUAAGGCAUCGACAAUUCAGUAGUGGUAUUUGAGUAAAAACAAGUGAAAUAUCCCUCUAAGCGAAAGUCUUGUAAUUGAGAAAAUCUCAAAGCUCUCAAAGUUUUGUUUAAGCUCUCUUCAAAAGCUUGUAAGUUUAUGUUUCAAAUUCUUUUGUAAUUAUUUUAUGCUUUGAAUGAAAUUUCAAAUUCAACUGUUCUUCAAGUUUUACAUAUUGCAUCAAAGAACCCCUUUGAAUAUGAACUUUCUUGAAGUUCUGUCAAAGUUAUCUGGGUUUUAAGUGAGACCAUUAUGACUCCUCUAGAUUCAAUUGGGAGAUUUCAUCAAAAUUCAUAUUGAAAUUCAAAUUGAAGUGUUCUUUAUUUCAUUUUAUUUCAUCCAUCGAUAUUAAUUUUUGGAUAAAGUUAAAAACUAAAGGACAUCAAAAAUGUUAUUUUUAAUUACGAUAUCAAUAGCACUUUAUAGGAGAAAUUUUAAGUAGUGAAAUAUGGAAAAUUUAAGCUCAUAUAGAAUGAAUAGUUGAAUGGAAAAUGGUACACUUAUUAAAGAGUUGAACAUUGACCAACUUAUUGUCUGGGCUAGAGAAAAGUAAGCAAGAAAAUUCAAUGAAAUAUUGGGGACUUUCUUUUUUGUGUGGGUUGAAAGAUACAGAAGAAUAAUAAAUCCUACACUAAAUUUGAAGUGAUUUAUGAGUGAUACACCAAACUUAUUGUUUGGGCUAGAGAAAAUUAAAGUAGGCAAGAAAAUUCAAUGAAAUGGGGACUUUCUUUUCUGUGUGGAUAUAGAAGAAUUAUAAAUCCUACGCUAAAUUUGAAGUGACUUAUGAAUGAUACACCAAACCAUAUGUUGAUCACAAUGGCUAAAAUGAAUUAUCUUGUUGAAUCCAUAUUAAUAAAAUUUAUUGUUAUGGAUAUUUUUUAUAUUUCUAUUAACAGUAUGGAAGAGUGUUAGUGAAGCUGAAUCUAGCAUACACCUAAAAUGCUAUGAAGAGAUUAUUUAAUAGUGAUUUUAAAAAGUAUUUUUAAUCUUUCUAAUUUUGAAAGAUGACAAUUUUCAAGUGUUCAAAAUGGUACAAACACUUUUUAGAAUUAUUAUCAGAUACACUCAAAAUUUGUAAAAAGAAAAAAGAAUAUAAGAUAAGUCAGCUUAUGUUGGUAAAAAUCUUGGUCAUUCAACAUGAAUGGUUUGGUCUAAGAAAUUUUCUAACCCAAAGAAGGAAACAGAUUUAGGAAUUGAUAGAAUGUGUAAGGCAUGAAUUGUGUGGCUUUAUCCAAAGGAAUAAAUUCCAUUUUGGUGUUCCUAAUAGAGUAAUUAGAAUAAUUUGAUUGUAACUUUUCAAUUUGAUCACCUCGAACUAAACAGAACAUACAUAAGCAAUGCCAUGAAAUUUGUAUAAAAUUAAAACUGUUGUUUAUGGUAAUUUCAUAAUUAAACCGUCUUUCAUCAAAAGCACAAGAAAACUCAUAUGAACUAAAAAGAUAUGAAAAUAGCUAGAAGUAGUCCCAUCAUGACCCCUUUUUUUUUUUUUUUGACUGAACAGGAUACCAUGCGUGGAAUGUUGUCUUAUUAUUUAUGUAAUAUUAGAACUUUUUCUCUUCUUGAAACAUGAAUAGAAGUUAAUUAUGUUUUGUGUUAACAGUAUCCCCCAGCGGCUUCCAAUGAGAAUUCUACUCUUCUCAUGCCUUUUUUCCAUGCCCUUAUGCUCAAUCAUCUUUGGUAUCCAUAUUACUUUGGUGUCCGGUGAAUGUCUCAGUGAUGGACGGGUAUGCCUGGAAGAUGAGAUGUCUUUGUUGCUACGGCUGAAGAAGACCCUCAAAUUCAAUGUUGCUGUUUCAAAUAAACUAGUUUCCUGGAAUCGAAGCGCAGACUGCUCUUCUUGGGGAGGUGUGACCUGGGAUGCCAAUGGUCACGUUGUCGGUCUUGAUCUGAGUAGCGAAUCAAUUUCUGGUGGAUUCAAUAGCUCUAGUAGCCUUUUCAGUUUACAAUAUCUCCAGAGCUUGAAUUUGGCUGGAAACAGCUUCUGCGGAGGAUUGAACUGGCCUAACAACAGCUUCUGCUCUUCUCAAAUUCCAUCAGGAUUUGACAGGCUUGCUAAUUUAAUUUAUCUGAAUUUAUCCAAUUCUGGCUUUUCUGGGCAGAUUCCAAAGGAAUUUUCGCUCUUGACUAGCUUGGUUACCAUCGAUUUCUCCAGCCUUGGUUAUCUCAUUGGAUUUCCUACACUGAAACUUGAGAAUCCAAAUCUGAGAAUGCUGGUUCAGAAUCUCAAGGAGCUUAGGGAACUUCAUCUUAAUGGUGUAGACAUAUCAGCCGAGGGGAAGGAGUGGUGCCAGGCAUUGUCAUCUUCAGUGCCUAAUCUCCAAGUGCUUAGCUUGUCCAGCUGUCAUCUUUCAGGCCCAAUCCAUUCUUCCCUGCAGAAGCUUCGAUCUCUCUCAAGGAUUCGUCUGGAUGACAACAAUUUUGCUGCUCCAGUUCCACAGUUCCUCGCUAGCUUCUCAAAUUUGACUCACUUGCAGCUCAGUUCUUGUGGAUUAACUGGAACGUUUCCAGAAAAGAUCAUUCAGGUAACAACCCUACAGAUUCUUGAUUUGUCAAUUAACUUACUUGAAGAUUCUUUGCCAGAAUUCCCUCAAAAUGGAUCUCUAGAAACAUUGGUGCUUUCGGAUACAAAACUAUGGGGGAAACUACCCAACUCCAUGGGAAAUCUUAAGAAGCUGACUAGCAUAGAGCUGGCACGUUGCCAUUUCAGUGGCCCAAUCCUAAACUCAGUGGCAAACCUUCCUCAACUGAUUUACUUGGACUUGUCUGAAAAUAAGUUUUCCGGUCCAAUUCCAUCUUUUAGUUUGUCCAAGAGACUCACCGAAAUAAACCUUUCCUACAAUAAUUUGAUGGGUCCAAUUCCUUUCCACUGGGAACAACUUGUUAAUUUAAUGAAUCUUGACCUGCGGUACAAUGCAAUUACAGGAAAUCUCCCCCCGUCCCUGUUUUCCCUCCCAUCCUUGCAGAGGUUACGACUAGACAACAACCAAAUUUCUGGUCAGUUCAAAAUUCUUUUAAAUGCAUCUUCUUCUAGAUUGAGCACCCUUGGUUUGAGUAGCAACAAUCUCAAAGGGCCGAUACCUGAUUCUGUCUUUGAACUGCGGUGUCUUAGCUUCCUUGACCUAUCUUCCAACAAAUUCAAUGGAAAGAUUGAACUCAGCAAGUUUAAAAAACUUGGGAAUCUUACUGAUCUUAGCCUUUCAUACAACAACCUGUCCAUCAAUGCAACCCUUUGUAAUCUGUCCCCUUCUAUACUGCCUAUGUUUACAACAUUAAGGUUGGCUUCUUGCAGGCUGACAACUUUACCUGAUCUUAGCGGCCAGUCAAGCUUGACACAUUUAGACCUUUCCCAAAACCAAAUUCACGGGAACAUACCUAGUUGGAUUUAGAAGAUUGGUAAUGGCUCUCUUGUGUAUUUGAAUCUCUCUCAUAAUUUACUGGAGGAUCUACACGAACCUUUCCCUACUUUUACUCCUUAUCUGUCCAUCCUUGACCUACAUUCCAACCAGCUCCAUGGCCAAAUCCCCACUCCUCCCAUAUUUUGCAGCUAUGUGGAUUACUCGAACAACAGUUUCACCUCCUCCAUCCCAGAAGAUAUUGGUACUUACAUCUUCUUCACUAUUUUCUUCUCUCUUUCUAAGAAUAACAUCACUGGAAUGAUCCCUGCAUCAAUCUGCAAUGCCAGUUACCUGCGAGUUCUUGACUUUUCUGACAACGCUUUGAGUGGAAUGAUACCCUCAUGUUUAAUUGGGAACGAGAUUCUUGAGGUCCUGAAUCUACGGAGAAACAAGUUAAGUGCCACUAUACCUGGGGAAUUUUCGGGAAACUGUCUUUUACGGACUCUAGAUCUGAAUGGGAAUCUCUUAGAAGGAAAAAUUCCAGAAUCUCUAGCCAAUUGCAAAGAGUUAGAGGUUUUAAACCUUGGGAACAAUCAGAUGAGUGAUUUUUUUCCUUGCUCGUUGAAGACUAUAAGCAAUUUGCGCGUCCUUGUUCUUCGAUCCAACAGAUUCUAUGGACCCAUUCAAUGUCGACUGAUUACUACCAAAAAGUGCUAUUUUGUAAACCUAAUUAUAAUGGUUUUAAGCACCUUUGAGUAGUAAUCAUAUUCAUUUAACCCAAUUAAUUCAUUAAGGUCCUUAGUAAUUGGUUUUAACCAUUUUGUGGCAAGUUUACAUGUUUAUAUCAGCUUAUGAAUCAAUUCAGGCAUGCCAAAUGAUGGAGGAGCUACUUGGACAAGUUAAAGCAAGCUUUUAGCUACACCAAAGCAAGCCAACAAAAGGAGAAAAGCAAAGAGAAGCAAAGAGAAGCAAAAAGAAGCAAAGAGGAAAAUAGAGGACAGCAGCUGCAGUCUUCUUUGGCACUUUUGGAGCACUUCCCGAAGUCCAUUUUCUACAUGCUAUAUACCAUUUCAAAGCUCAGGAAGUCAAGAAUCUAACGCUUCAAACCGUGUACGAUUUGGAGCUGAAAUGAGGAAGAUAUGGCCUUUGAAAGACAACUGCUCCAGGUGUGCGAAAGGUGUGCGAAUGGUGUGCGAAACUCGCACACCCCCCUCAGGUGUGCGAAAAUUUCGCACACCCCAUGCGUGGUGCGAAUUUUGCUCUGUUUUUGCCGACUCCACUUUAGAUAUUUUCUUUUGUAUUUUUUGAUGUAAUUUCCUUUCUUCUCCUUGUAACAAGCCAAUCACAAGCUUUUGCUUUUGUAAAGACUAUAUAAGGGGUGGAAAUCACCUCUUGGAAUAUAUAAUACAUAUUACGUUUUACACUCUCUCGUUUUCUCUUUUCUCUUCACUAUUUUAUUUUCUUGGUAGCCAAACAGCCUCUAAGGGCUUUUCCUCAGAGGAUGAUUGGCUAAAACUUUUAGUUUCUCAAAGUAUGGAUGUUAUGUGAUGACUUGGAUGCAAUCCCAUGGAAAUUUCUCACACCCGGAAGGUAAGGUAGUCGUUUUUCAUUAAAGGUUCAUUAAUGCAAAGUUUGGUUUUUAUUUCCUUUGGACAACUUCCAACGGCCAAUACUUGAUAAGCUUUUGGAUUUCUAUCCAUUAGUUAUCUCCUACGAGCUAUUGGAAGGUGAGGUUUUCAAUUCCAAGUUUUGUAUUAAUCCGUUAGAACCAAUUUCAAUGGCCAUUGAAAGGUGAGUUUAUCACCUGGAAUGACUUUGAGUUGCCAAUAUUUGGUAAGCUUUUGGCUUUAGACCAUUAGUUAUCUCUUACGAGCCAUUCAAAGGAAGUCUAAGGUGAAUAACCAUUGAUGAAAUUCACUACCAUCUGUUUUGCCAUUUUAAAGGAUUAAAACGUGAUUUGCUAAAUCCAUACCGGUUCGGGAAGCAAGCAUCACCAUAGUUGCAACCCCAACGCGAGGAGCCUAUCCUGAGAUUUCCAAUUUGCAUAAAAGCCAGAGCAUAGCUAUCCUAUCUUUGAGAAACUUGUUUUAAGAAAAUCACCUAUUUUCCUAACUUGAAUAUCACUUGUGUUUGCGAAAACCCUUCCCAGUGAACGAUCCUAGAACCACUAUGCUAUAGUAGCUUGGCUACUUGAGUAAUAGUAUUCAAGGUAUAAAUUUUGUUGAUACGCCUUUAAAGCUAAGCUACCAUGAGUCGCAUCAUCGACCACAUAGCAAUCCCACCUGGCCACUGCUUCAAAUUAUCGACCUUGCUUCCAACAAUUUUACUGGUGACUUGUCAGGAAAAUUCUUUUUAACCUGGAAGGCAAUGAGGGCUGAUAAAGAUGGAGCCAGGUCAGAGCUCAAUCACCUACAACUUCAGGUACUACAAUUCGGCCAAGUGUACUAUCAGGAUACGGUGACUGUCACCAGCAAAGGCCUAGAAAUGCAGCUUGUGAAGAUUCUAACCGUCUUCACUGCCAUUGAUUUCUCCUUCAACAAUUUCCAAGGGGAGAUACCAGAAGCUAUGGGAAGCUUGAUUUCACUUUAUGCUCUCAACCUGUCCCAUAAUGCUUUGACGGGCCAAAUCCCAUCAUCACUAGGGAAGUUGCGGCAGCUUGAGUCGUUGGACCUCUCACAGAACAGCCUUAGGGGGGAGAUACCACCACAGUUUGUGAGCCUAAAUUUCCUUUCCUUCCUUAACCUCUCCUUUAAUCAACUGGAGGGAGAAAUCCCCACAGGUACUCAACUUCAAACGUUUUUGGAAUCUUCUUAUGAAGGGAACAAAGAACUAUGCGGACCCCCCUUGAAGAGGAAAUGCACAGAUCCAUCCCCACCCACCUCUGAAGAAACACAUCCGGAUUCUGGGAUGAAGAUUAACUGGGUGUACAUAGGUGCUGAAAUUGGAUUUGUCACCGGUAUAGGAAUUGUGAUUGGGCCUCUUGUGUUAUGGCGAAGGUGGAGACGAUGGUACUACACACAUGUGGAUAGACUUCUUUUGAGGAUUCUCCCGCGUCAAGGCGGAGGAGUUCAUGGCAGGAGACGUCACAGAAGUCAGCGACAGAGACUCUAGCACCAGAAAGGUGGCGCAGCUAGAGUUUGUUCUAUGGAAGGAAAAAUAAAAACUAAAAAGUAUGUUCAUUGCUAGGAUUUCUGUGUUUUUUUACCUUAAAAAUUGGAAGUACGUUGUUUUUGAAUAAUAUCUUUCAAUUAUUUUAACUUAUUUUAAAAAAUAAUUAUACAAAUAUGAACAAAAAUUAAAAAUAAAAUAAUACUAUAGAACCCCAUUUUGGGGGGCAUUUUUUGCAAAUUAUUUAUGUAGGUGGAGGGCUCUUAACGAGCCACGUGUUGCCCCAAGUUUGGUCUUUAGAGAAUCAUGUUAGUGGUUUGAAGAAGAAAUGGAAGGGCGACACGUGUCAUGGGAAUAUUCAGAAACAGUUUUUUUUUGGGGAUUUGGAGGAGCGUAUUUUUGAUAUAGAGAUAAGGAGGCCGUUAAGGAGGGGGAGAUAUUUGGUUGCUAUUACAGAGAGGUAUAAGUAGCUUGGGAGGCAAGACUGAGGAGGCAUGUUUUUUGGGGUUGCUUAGGAGAGAGGGAUACCUGGGGGGGAUUCUCUUUGGAGGAGGUUACAGAGGAGCGUUUUUUUUAGUAGCUUGAGAAAGAAGACAACUGGAGAGAAGACCAUUUGAGCUAGAGAAAGGGAAGAGGAGAAUUGGUUGAGCUUGGAAGGGAGAACUGGUCAAAGAGAGGAGGAAACACACAGAAGAAUCGUCUUGAAAGAGGGUGACACAGUAAACCGGCCCAUCACUCAGGUACACUCCUUGCCUAUCUUGUUUAUUCGGUUAUUUUGUUUUGAUUGAUAUUCAUUCAUAUCCAUGUUUGAUCAAUCAAUUGUCAUACUUGCUUCAUCUCAUUAGUAGAGACCCGUUUUUAGGGACUUAGAGGGGUGCUACAGUCUUUACCGUACCUUCCCAAUAAGUAACCUAACCCCCGAGUUCAAAUUUGAUUUUUCACAGACCACCUUUUCCAAAAUAAAGAGUCAAACUUAGGGUUUUCUUUCUUAUUUUGUUUACCCUUUAAAAAUAAAACAAAAAUAAGUGGCGACUCCAAGUCAUUUUCUUAAAAAAUAAAUCAUUUUCAAAUAACAAGCGAGUUUGCCAUCGAGUGGAAGCGCAUGAGCAGAAAUACGGGGUCCACAAAUACACACUUAGGGUUUUCUUUAUUUAUUUUGGCAUUCAAAGCCACCGUUCCUUUUUAGUUCGACAUUCAUAGCCAUCAUACCUCUUUUUCAGUUUGGCGUUCAGAGCCACAUCUUCAUUUUGGCGUUCAGAGUCACAUCUUCAUUUUGGCGUUCAGAGCCACCGUCCCUUUUUAGUUUGGCAUUCAGAGUCACCAUCUCUUUUUUCGAUUUAGCGUUCAGAGCCGCAUCUUCAUUUUGGCGUCCAGAGCUGUUGUUUGCUUCUAGUUCAGUAUUCAUAGCCAUCAUACCUCUUUUUCGGUUUGGCAUUCAGAGCCGCAUCUUCAUUUUGGCAUUCAGAGCAGUUGUUCAUUUUAGUUCGGUAUUCAAAGCCACACCUUCAAUUCGGUGUUUAGAGCUGCAUUUUUUGUUUGGCGUCUAGAUUCGUUGUUCGUUUUCAAUUUGGUGUUCAGAGCCGUCGUUUAUUUCUAGUUCGGCAUUCAGAGCCAUCAUACAAUUUUCAGUUUGGUGUUCAGAGCCAUCAUUUGUUUUUUUAGUUCAACAUUCAGAGUCGUCAUGUAUUUCUUUCAUUCGUCGUUCAAAGUCACAUCUUCAUCUUGGCGUUCAGAGCCGCAUCUUCCAUUUGGCGUUCAGAGUCAUGUCUUCAAUUCAACAUUCAGAGUCAUUAUUCAUUAUUGAAAUUCAAAGCCAUUGUUUCAUUCAGGCAUUUGAUGCCACCAUUUUUCUUUAGUUUUGGCGUUCAGAGCCAUUGUGCAUACUUAUUCAGGCAUUCGAUGCCACCAUCAUUCUUUAGCUUUGGCGUUCAAAGCUGUUGUGCAUACUCGUUUAGGCAUUUAGAUCACCAUUCAUUCAUCCAUUUUGGCGUUCAGAAUCAUUUUCCUUACCUUGUUACCUUGUGCUUAUUGCUUGUUCAUCAUGGUCUUCUAGACUUCCCCUUCCACUACACAUGACAUAGUCCUUUAAGUUCAUGACACAUAUUUUGGUCAUGUUGUUGGGCACCCCACGUUUAGCGUGCUCAUGUGGCUCACAUAGGGCGGUCUCCUUUGAGCACAUUCUUUUCUGUACUCCAAGGUGGUUCGACCAUUAGCAUCUUUGACAUUGACCUUCAAGUCACUUUUGGAGACGUCUUAGAUGGAGUCUGGAUCCUUAGUUCAACUUUAGAGGCACAUUGAGACGUGUUUUUCUCUUAGGAUUAAAGUCAUUUUGUUCAUCUAUGCGAGUGAGUUUGUGUUUUGCUAAUGUCCCUUUGGGGGUCUCAUUGGUUCUUCGAUAGAGUUCACUUCAUUCCACUUAUUAUUCACACUUUUUUUUCACCUUAGUGUUCAUAUUCCUUACACUCGUGAGCUCUACCGAAGAGGGGCAUAUUUGUAGACCCCCAUUUUGGGGGGCAUUUUUUUGAAAAUUAUUUCUGCAGGUGGAGGGCUCUUAAAGAGCCACAUGUUGCCCCAAGUUUGGUCUUUAGAGAAUCAUGUUAGUGGUUUGAAGAAGCAAUGGGAGGGCAAUACAUGUCAUGGGAAUAUUCAGAAACAGUUUUUUUGGGGAUUUGGAGGAGCGUAUUUUUGAUAUAGAGAGAGGAAGGUCGUUAAGGAGGGAGAGAUAUUUGGUUGUUGUUACAUAAAGGUAUAGAUAGCUUGGGAGGCAAGACUGAGGAGGCGUGUUUUUUGGGGUUGCUUGGGAAAGAGGGAUACCUGGGAGGGAUUCUCUCUAGAGGAGGUUAUAAAGGAGCGUUUUUUUAGUAGCUUAAGAGAGAAGACAACUGGAGAGAAGACCAUUUGAGCUAGAGAAAGGGAGAAGGAGAAUCACCUGAGCUUGGAAGGGAGAAUUGGUUAGAGAUAGGAGGAAACACACAGAAGAAUCGUCUUGAAAGAGGGUGACACAGUAAACCGGCCCAUCACUCAGGUACACACCUUGCGUCUCUUGUUCAUUCGGUUAUUUUGUUUUGAUUAAUAUUCAUUUGGUAUCCAUUUUUUAUCAAUCACUUGCCAUACUUGCUUCAUCUCAUUAGUAGAGGCUCGUUUUUAGGGACUUAGAGGGGUGCUACGGUCUUUAUCGUAUCUUCCCAAUAAAUAACCGGACCCCCAAGCCUAGAUUCGGUUUUUCACAAACCACCUUUUCCAAAAUAAGGAGUCACACUUAGGGUUUUCUUUCUUAUUUUGUUUACCCUUUAAAAAUAAAACAAAUAUAAGUGGCAACUCCAAGUCAUUUUCUUAAAAAAUAAAUCAUUUUCAAAUAAAAAGCGAGUUUGCCAUCGAGUGGAAGCGCAUGAGCAAAAAUGCGGGGUCCACAAAUACAUAUAAAAUUUUUUUUAAAACAAAUUUAAAAAUAUAUCAAACGGUUAAAAAACAUUUCAAAUUCUCAAAUACACUUUUGUUAAUCUACUAAACAUUAAAUAACAUAUUUAAAAAAUUGUUCUCAAAAACUCUUUUAAAAUACACUUCUCACUCAAAACCUAAUAAACUAAGAAUAUCAAUAACAAAAUAUUAAUAAAAAGAUUUAAAUAAAAUACGGAGAAAUCCUAUUCAAAAAGUAAGGUCAUGUUUAACAACUAUUUUUUAAAACAGUUUUUUUUUUUUUUAUUCAGAAUAAAAAAUAGGAAAACAUGUUUGAGAACUAAAAAUCAUAAUAUGGUUUUCUAUUAUUAAAAGCAUGAAAUGGUGUUUUCAAGUAACAUCUUUAAAAUUUUAAGAGAUUAUCGGAUCAUGUCAAAAGGGUUUAGCUAGAAUAAUCUAGGAAAUUUUACUCUAAAGUACUUCUUCAAAUGCUCAUCAUCAUUGAAUCCCAUGAUUCCAAUUCUACAAUUGUAAGAGUGCGUUUGAGAGUGAUUUUAGAAAACAUUUAUAGUAUUUUCAACAUUUAAAUGAUAAAAAAUUUCAAAUGUUAAAAAGAUUAAAAACGUUUCCUAGAAUUAUUUUCAAACGGACUAUAAAUCCUCUUCUGGUUAUGAUUGUAAAUGAAAUAUACAAAUAUAAUAGUCAGAGACUAAAGACAAAACGUUGUUUUAUAUAUACAUAUAUAACCGAAAUACAUGAAACUUGUAGUCUGAUUUUUCCAAUGGAAGAAGAUAGUUCCACCAUUAUAUUGAUUUGGUAAUCAUUUCGAAAUAUAAUUUUACUCAUGCUUUGAAAUGCAUGAAACUAAUAAAUUAAACUGAAAUCUAAUAGAAUUGAAAUAAGAGAAGUUAACAAUACCCAUCCACCCAUUUUUAUUUUAUUUUUCUUGUUAAGUCCUCAGCUUUCCUCUUACUUCAUGCCUUUUCUUUCCCCAUGUUAAGAGACAAUUUAACAUCUAUUGAAAUAGUAUGUUGGAAGAUGGUUGAACACUUGUGAGAGAUAGUUAAGUACUACAAAUUAAAUAUAAUAGCAGAAAUUCAUCAAUGCAAACUAUUUUAAGGAUGUGCCAAAUUUUGUGAAAGAUGUACCAAAUUUUGUAAAGAAUGUGCCAAAUUGUUUUUAGGAUGUACCUUGGGUUCCAAUGUUCGUUUCAAGCUGGGGAACAACCUCUAAUUCCUUCUCGAGGGUCCCCAAAGGAAUAUAUGAACCAUAAGAAUGGAGAUAGGGGUCUUGGUUCCUCUAAGAAUGGAUAUACCUAGGAUUGCAAAGUUUGUUUUGGGGUGGGCGAGUACCUCCAAUUACUUAUCGAGGGUCCCAAAGGAAUAUAUACACCAUGAUAAGUAUGAUGAUGGUUCUAGUUCUCAUAAACAUGAAUUUACCUAUUUUUUUAAGGAUGUACCUUUUUUUUACCUUUUUUUUUUUUUUUUUUUUAAGGAUGCACCUCUUUUUUUUAUGAAAUAAAUAUAAAAGGUUAAAUACAAUUUUUUUUAUUAAAAAUAUGUUUUCUUUUAUAUUUUAUUUUAAUUAAAAAUUAAAGAUUUUAACCAAACAAAAAGUUAGAUCCACAAGCAAAUUAAAAUCAUAAGAAAAAUAAUAAAAGCACUAUCAGUUAUUGUGAUUUUGAUAUGAUAAAUUUAAAAUGAAAAUAAAAAUAAAAAUAGUGUAAAUAAUAAAAUAGUAUUACAAAGAUAUUUUUAUUUUUACAUGUGAUAGAAUUUACAAAAUAAAUAAAUCUUUUGUUUAGUAUUAAUAUAAAAAAUCUUAUAUCAUAAACUUCUAAAUAAUAAAAUAGAAUUUUUAAAUUUAAACCUUAAUUUAUCAAAUGUAUUAUUAUAAUUAAUAUUUAAAAUCAUCAAGUAUAUUAUUUGUACGAUAAUAUUUUCAUUUUUGUCCAUUAUAUAUAUAUAUAUAUAUAUAUAUUUAUUUAUUUAAUUUGUUAUAUUAAUUUUUUAUUAUAUAUCAUCAUUUUAAGUUUAAUAUGUCAAAAAAAUAAUAAUUGAAAUCAAUAAAUAUGGAUAAAUUAGAGAGUAAAGAAAAAUUACAAUUAAAGAAGUUUUAUGAAAAAAUACAUGAGCAUAUUAAGAAGAAUAUAAAGGAAAAAGAGAAAAAUAAUAAUAAAAACUAUAAUAAGUGACAAUAAAUUAUGGCGGGAAGAUAGGAAAAAAAAGGAAAAAAGAAGAAAGGAAAAAAAUGGGAAUGUGACUAGUGAUAAGCGAGAUAUAUUGAUAAGAGAAAAAUAAUAAAAAUAAAUGACGCAUGUGUUUAUCAACAGGUGGUAUUAAAUGAAUAGAUAAUAUUUUUUUCCUAUUUUACACUAAAUGUCAAAAGGAAAAAGUAAAGUUCUAAAAUGUCAUAUUUUUUUAAAUUGGUUUAUGAUUACAUGAUUUCCCAAAAAAGAAUAUCAGUGUACACAGAAUCGCGAAGAAUUGGACACAAGUAGAAUUGAAAUUGAAUGUGAAUCGAGUGUGAAAGGACAACUUGUAAGAGGACAUUUCUGGUUCUCAUUCAAAGUAAUGAAUUUCAUGUCGGUAGGCGUUCUGUUAUGCGUUCCUUGUUUUCUUUGUCUUUCACAAGGACUUGAUUAGGAAGACUUGAAGUCAAACCGAGCCUCAUUGAUCUUCCAACUACAUACCAAAUAUAUAUCUAUUAGUUGAUCUUCCAAUUAAGAUUAAUAGAUGGAAACCAAAAAGUCAGGCGUAUUGUUUGAGCCACAGAAAAGUCGGCAAUGAAGACCUCUGUUCCGUCGUCGUGGAAAGAUAGGCACGAAUUAAUGAAGUGAACGGGUCAUUGUUGUGUCAAUUCAUAAUUGGUUCCUAAAGGAAAAUUCUGACAAAAUCGUAAGAGUAAAAAAUGUAAGAAAAUGAUAAAUUGUCAUGUGACUUGGGGGAAACAAGGAAGGAAAAAACAUAAAAGCUGCUUCCUGUUCAAUUGGGGGAAACAAAAAAAGUGUAAUGUUGUGUUGUUGAUGUAUAACUACAACAUUCUUUUUUCUUCCUGUUCAAUUUCUCCCUAUCUACAUAUUAAACAUGCUUUGUUGUAGCAGUAUUUCCCAGCUGCUUCCAAUGAGAAUUGCACUCUUUUCAUGGCUUUAUUUCUUGCCCUUAUGCUCAAUCGUUUUUGGUAUCCAUGUGGCUUUGGUGUCCGGGGAAUGUCUGAGUGAUGGGAGCAUAUGCCUGGAGGAUCAGAUGUCCUUGUUGCUGCAACUGAAGAACACCCUCAAAUUCAAUGUUGCUGCAUCAAGUAAACUAGUUUCCUGGAAUCCAAGCACGGAUUGCUGCUCUUGGGGAGGUGUAACCUGGGAUGCCACUGGUCAUGUUGUCGCUCUCGAUCUCAGUAGCCAAUCAAUUUAUGGUGGAUUCAAUAACUCCAGUAGCAUUUUCAGUCUACAAUAUCUGCAGAGCUUGAAUUUGGCUAACAACACCUUCUACUCUUCUCAAAUUCCAUCUGGGUUCAGUAAGCUUGACCAUUUGAUAUACCUGAAUUUGUCUAAUGCUGGGUUUUCUGGACAAAUUCCAAUUGAGAUCUCAUGCUUGACGAAAUUGGUUACAAUUGAUUUCUCCGUGUUUUACCUUCCUGGAGUUCCUACGCUGACACUUGAGAACCCAAAUCUGAGAAUGCUGGUUCAGAACCUGACAGAGCUUAGAGAACUCUAUCUUAAUGGUGUAAACAUAUCGGCACAAGGGAAGGAAUGGUGCCAGGCAUUAUCAUCUUCAGUGCCUAAUCUCCAAGUGCUGAGCUUGGCAAGCUGUUAUCUUUAUGGCCCUCUUGAUUCUUCUCUGCAGAAGCUUCGGUCUCUCUCAAGCAUUCGCCUGGACAGUAACAACUUCUCUGCUCCUGUUCUAGAAUUCCUAGCCAAUUUCUCGAAUUUGACUCAAUUGCGGCUCAGUUCUUGUGGAUUAUAUGGAACAUUUCCAGAAAAGAUCUUUCAGGUACCAACCCUUCAGAUUCUUGAUUUGUCAAACAACAAGUUGCUCCUGGGUUCUUUGCCGGAAUUCCCUCAGAAUGGAUCUCUAGGAACUCUGGUGCUCUCGGAUACAAAAUUUUCAGGGAAAGUACCAUACUCCAUAGGCAAUCUCAAGAGGUUGACUAGGAUAGAGCUUGCAGGUUGUGAUUUCAGUGGAGCAAUUCCAAACUCGAUGGCAGACCUUACACAACUGGUUUACUUGGACUCAUCUUAUAACAAGUUUUCCGGUCCAAUCCCACCUUUUAGUUUGUCCAAGAACCUGACCCGAAUAAACCUUUCUCAUAAUUAUUUAACGGGUCCGAUUCCUUCCUCUCACUUGGAUGGUCUUGUAAAUCUAGUGACUCUUGACUUGCGAGACAAUUCACUGAAUGGAAGUCUCCCCAUGCUCCUGUUUUCCCUCCCAUCACUGCAGAAGAUACAACUGAGCAACAACCAAUUUUCUGGUCCCUUGAGUAAAUUUUCAGUUGUGCCUUUUUCUGUACUGGAGACCCUUGAUUUGAGUAGCAACAAUCUGGAAGGGCCAAUACCCAUAUCUGUCUUUGAUCUCCAGUGUCUUAACAUCCUUGAUCUUUCUUCCAACAAAUUCAAUGGCACUGUUUUACUAAGCAGCUUUCAGAACCUUGGAAAUCUUACCACUCUUAGUCUGUCAUACAACAACUUGUCCAUCAAUUCAAGUGUUGGUAAUCCCACUUUGCCCCUGCUGUUGAAUCUUACCACAUUAAAAUUGGCUUCUUGCAAGCUCAGAACAUUACCUGAUCUUAGCACCCAGUCAAGAUUGACACAUUUAGACCUUUCCGAUAACCAAAUUCCCGGGAGCAUACCUAAUUGGAUUUGGAAGAAUGGUAAUGGAUCUCUUUUGCAUUUGAAUCUCUCUCAUAAUUUACUGGAGGAUCUGCAGGAAACUUUCUCUAAUUUUACUCCUUAUCUGUCCAUCCUUGACCUACAUUCCAACCAGCUCCAUGGCCAAAUCCCAACUCCUCCCCAAUUUUCCAUCUAUGUGGAUUACUCAGACAACAGUUUCAACUCUUCCAUCCCAGAUGAUAUUGGUAUUUACAUUUCCUUCACUCUUUUCUUCUCGCUUUCGAAGAAUAACAUCACUGGAGUUAUUCCUGAAUCAAUAUGCAAUGCCAGUUACCUGCAAGUUCUUGACUUCUCUGACAAUGCUUUUAGUGGCAAAAUACCCUCAUGUUUAAUUCAGAAUGAGGCUCUUGCAGUGUUGAAUCUGGGGAGGAACAAGUUUAAUGGCACUAUACCAGGGGAAUUCAGGCACAAGUGUCUUUUACAGACACUAGAUCUCAAUGAGAAUCUUUUAGAAGGAAACAUCACAGAAUCUCUAGCCAAUUGCAAAGAGUUAGAGAUUUUAAACCUUGGGAACAACCAAAUUGAUGAUAUCUUUCCUUGCUGGUUGAAGAACAUAACCAAUUUGCGUGUCCUUGUUCUGCGAGGCAACAAAUUCCAUGGGCCCAUUGGGUGUCUCAGGAGCAAUUCCACCUGGGCAAUGCUUCAGAUAGUUGACCUAGCAGACAACAACUUUAGUGGUAAGUUGCCAGAAAAAUGCUUCUCGACCUGGACAGCAAUGAUGGCGGGUGAAAAUGAAGUCCAAUCCAAGCUCAAACACCUGCAAUUUAGGGUUCUACAAUUCAGUCAAUUGUACUAUCAGGAUGCUGUAACAGUUACCAGCAAAGGUCUAGAAAUGGAGUUGGUGAAGGUCCUAACUCUCUACACCUCUAUUGACUUGUCG